rnacentral:rRNA from 1 species
AUUGAGCGCUGGCGGCAGGCCUAACACAUGCAAGUCGAGCGGAUGAGAGGAGCUUGCUUCUUGAUUCAGCGGCGGACGGGUGAGUAAUGCCUAGGAAUCUGCCUGGUAGUGGGGGACAACGUUUCGAAAGGAACGCUAAUACCGCAUACGUCCUACGGGAGAAAGCAGGGGACCUUCGGGCCUUGCGCUAUCAGAUGAGCCUAGGUCGGAUUAGCUAGUUGGUGAGGUAAUGGCUCACCAAGGCGACGAUCCGUAACUGGUCUGAGAGGAUGAUCAGUCACACUGGAACUGAGACACGGUCCAGACUCCUACGGGAGGCAGCAGUGGGGAAUAUUGGACAAUGGGCGAAAGCCGGAUCCAGCCAUGCCGCGUGUGUGAAGAAGGUCUUCGGAUUGUAAAGCACUUUAAGUUGGGAGGAAGGGUUGUACGUUAAUACCGUGCAAUUUUGACGUUACCGACAGAAUAAGCACCGGCUAACUCUGUGCCAGCAGCCGCCGUAA